AGGUCCGUAGCUCAAUUGGCAGAGCACCGGAUUCCAAAUCCGGCGGUUGGGGGUUCGAGUCCCUCCGGACCUG
rnacentral:tRNA from 1 species